UACCACGUAGCUCAGUUGGUAGAGCAUUGGACUAGCAUCCCAGAGGUCGCGGGUUCGAUUCCCACCGUGGCCA
rnacentral:tRNA from 1 species